AAGCAACGCGAAGAACCUUACCAAAUCUUGACAUCCUUUGACCGCUCUAGAGAUAGAGUCUUCCCCUUCGGGGGACAAAGUGACAGGUGGUGCAUGGUUGUCGUCAGCUCGUGUCGUGAGAUGUUGGGUUAAGUCCCGCAACGAGCGCAACCCUUAAGCUUAGUUGCCAUCAUUAAGUUGGGCACUCUAAGUUGACUGCCGGUGACAAACCGGAGGAAGGUGGGGAUGACGUCAAAUCAUCAUGCCCCUUAUGAUUUGGGCUACACACGUGCUACAAUGGACAAUACAAAGGGCAGCUAAACCGCGAGGUCAAGCAAAUCCCAUAAAGUUGUUCUCAGUUCGGAUUGUAGUCUGCAACUCGACUACAUGAAGCUGGAAUCGCUAGUAAUCGUAGAUCAGCAUGCUACGGUGAAUACGUUCCCGGGUCUUGUACACACCGCCCGUCACACCACGAGAGUUUGUAACACCCGA
rnacentral:rRNA from 1 species